rnacentral:rRNA from 1 species
UACGUAGGUCCCGAGCGUUAUCCGGAUUUACUGGGCGUAAAGUGUCCGUAGCCUGAUAUAUAAGUCUGUCUUUAAAUACCUGGACUCAAUCGAGGGAAGGGGAUAGAUACUGUAUAUCUAGAGAUUUUGAGGGGAUAGUGGAAUUUCCGGUGGAGUGGUGAAAUGCGUUGAUAUCGGAAAGAAUGCCGAAAGCGAAAGCAGCUAUCUAUCAAAAAUCUGACGGUGAGGGACGAAAGCUUGGGGAGCGAACGGG